rnacentral:tRNA from 1 species
GAGGGUAUAGCUCAGUGGUAGAGCGAAUGCUUAGCAUGCAUGAGGUCCUGGGUUCAAUCCCCAGUACUUCCU